UACGAAGGGGGCUAGCGUUGCUCGGAAUUACUGGGCGUAAAGCGCACGUAGGCGGCUCUUUAAGUCGGGGGUGAAAUCCUGGAGCUCAACUCCAGAACUGCCUUCGAUACUGAAGAGCUUGAGUCCGGGAGAGGUGAGUGGAACUGCGAGUGUAGAGGUGAAAUUCGUAGAUAUUCGCAAGAACACCAGUGGCGAAGGCGGCUCACUGGCCCGGUACUGACGCUGAGGUGCGAAAGCCAGGGGAGCGAACGGG
rnacentral:rRNA from 1 species